UACCGGCAGCCCGAGUGGUGCUCGAUUUUAUUGAGCUUAAAGCGUACGUAGCCGGUCUUGUAAAUCCUUGGGUAAAUCGGGCAGCUUAACUGUUCGACUUCCGAGGAGACUGCUAGACUUGGGACCGGGAGAGGUUAGAGGUACCUUCGGGGUAGGGGUAAAAUCCUGUAAUCCUGAGGGGACCACCAGUGGCAAAGGCGUCUAACUAGAACGGAUCCGACGGUGAGGGACGAAGCCCUGGGGCGCAAACGGGAUUAGAUACCCCGGUAGUCCAGGGUGUAAACGCUGCGGGCUUGGUGUCGGGGGUCCUACGGGGGCGCCCGGUGCCGGAGAGAAAUUGUUAAGCCUGCCGCUUGGGGAGUACGGUCGCAAGACUGAAACUUAAAUGAAUUGACGG
rnacentral:rRNA from 1 species